rnacentral:misc_RNA from 1 species
GAACACACCUUGCGCCCUUUGGUAUUCCGAAGGGCAUGCCUGUUUGAGUGUCAUUAAAUUCUCAACUUUGAAACAUUCUUUUGUGUGUUUCUAAAGCUUUGGACUGUGGAGGCUUGCCGGCAUCCUUGAUGUCAGCUCCUCUUAAAUGCAUUAGCAGAACCUUUAUUGUUUGAAGGACUGGCUCCAGUUUGGUAAAUCUUCUAUCUAUGCUGUUGCUGUUGACCUUUGUAUGUUUUGCUUCUAAUGGUCUUUGGACUGUCUCUGUUGAGGCAUACAAUUUUAAGCUUGACCUCAAAUCAGGUAGGACUACCCGCUGAACUUA